CUAGAGAUAGAUUGGUGCCUUCGGGAACAUUGAGACAGGUGCUGCAUGGCUGUCGUCAGCUCGUGUCGUGAGAUGUUGGGUUAAGUCCCGUAACGAGCGCGACCCUUGUCCUUAGUUACCAGCACGUAAUGGUGGGCACUCUAAGGAGACUGCCGGUGACAAACCGGAGGAAGGUGGGGAUGGCGUCAAGUCAUCAUGGCCCUUACGGCCUGGGCUACACACGUGCUACAAUGGUCGGUACAGAGGGUUGCCAAGCCGCGAGGUGGAGCUAAUCCCACAAAACCGAUCGUAGUCCGGAUCGCAGUCUGCAACUCGACUGCGUGAAGUCGGAAUCGCUAGUAAUCGCGAAU
rnacentral:rRNA from 1 species